rnacentral:tRNA from 1 species
GGAACAGUAGCAAAGUUGGUCAAUGCAAUGCACUGAAAAUGCAAAGAUAUAGGUUCGAUUCCUGUCUGUUCCA